AUACCCUGGUAGUCCACGCCGUAAACGAUGAGUGCUAAGUGUUGGAGGGUUUCCGCCCUUCAGUGCUGCAGCAAACGCAUUAAGCACUCCGCCUGGGGAGUACGACCGCAAGGUUGAAACUCAAAGGAAUUGACGGGGGCCCGCACAAGCGGUGGAGCAUGUGGUUUAAUUCGAAGCAACGCGAAGAACCUUACCAGGUCUUGACAUCCUUUGACCACUCUAGAGAUAGAGCUUUCCCUUCGGGGACAAAGUGACAGGUGGUGCAUGGUUGUCGUCAGCUCGUGUCGUGAGAUGUUGGGUUAAGUCCCGCAACGAGCGCAACCCUUAUUGUUAGUUGCCAUCAUUUAGUUGGGCACUCUAGCGAGACUGCCGGUGACAAACCGGAGGAAGGUGGGGAUGACGUCAAAUCAUCAUGCCCCUUAUGACCUGGGCUACACACGUGCUACAAUGGGAAGUACAACGAGUCGCUAGACCGCGAGGUCAUGCAAAUCUCUUAAAGCUUCUCUCAGUUCGGAUUGCAGGCUGCAACUCGCCUGCAUGAAGCCGGAAUCGCUAGUAAUCGCGGAUCAGCACGCCGCGGUGAAUACGUUCCCGGGCCUUGUACACACCGCCCGUCACACCACGAGAGUUUGUAACACCCGAAGUCGGUGAGGUAACCUUUUUGGAGCCAGCCGCCUAAGGUGGGAUAGAUGAUUGGGGUGAAGUCGUAACAAGGUAGCCGUAUCGGAAGGUGCGGCUGGAUCACCUCCUUUCUAAGGAA
rnacentral:rRNA from 1 species